UACAGAGGGGGCAAGCGUUGUUCGGAAUUACUGGGCGUAAAGGGCGCGUAGGCGGCCUGUUAAGCGUGCGGUGAAAGCCUGGGGCUCAACCCCAGGUCUGCCGUGCGAACUGGUGGACUAGAGCACUGUAGAGGCAGGUGGGAUUCCGGGUGUAGCGGUGGAAUGCGUAGAGAUCCGGAAGAACACCGGUGGCGAAGGCGGCCUGCUGGGCAGUUGCUGACGCUGAGGCGCGACAGCGUGGGGAGCAAACAGG
rnacentral:rRNA from 1 species